rnacentral:rRNA from 1 species
AUGUUUGGUGUUUACACUAGACUGAUGAGUUGCGAACGGGUGAGUAACGCGUAGGUAACCUGCCUCAUAGCGGGGGAUAACUAUUGGAAACGAUAGCUAAUACCGCAUAAGAGUAAUUAACACAUGUUAGUUAUUUAAAAGGAGCAAUUGCUUCACUGUGAGAUGGACCUGCGUUGUAUUAGCUAGUUGGUGAGGUAAAGGCUCACCAAGGCGACGAUACAUAGCCGACCUGAGAGGGUGAUCGGCCACACUGGGACUGAGACACGGCCCAGACUCCUACGGGAGGCAGCAGUAGGGAAUCUUCGGCAAUGGACGGAAGUCUGACCGAGCAACGCCGCGUGAGUGAAGAAGGUUUUCGGAUCGUAAAGCUCUGUUGUUAGAGAAGAACGUUGGUAGGAGUGGAAAAUCUACCAAGUGACGGUAACUAACCAGAAAGGGACGGCUAACUACGUGCCAGCAGCCGCGGUAAUACGUAGGUCCCGAGCGUUGUCCGGAUUUAUUGGGCGUAAAGCGAGCGCAGGCGGUUCUUUAAGUCUGAAGUUAAAGGCAGUGGCUUAACCAUUGUACGCUUUGGAAACUGGAGGACUUGAGUGCAGAAGGGGAGAG